CUUCAGCUCCUAGGCAUGCAGUUUUAUUUGGUAAAGCGAAUGAUUAGAGGUCUUGGGGCCAAACCUAUCUCCACCUAUUCUCAAACUUUACCUGGGGAGGAACCUGGCUCGCUGGCGUGGAGCCCUGCGUGGAAUGCGAGUGCCUAGGCGGCCACUUUGGAAGGCAGAACUGGCUCUGGGGGUGACCU
rnacentral:ncRNA from 1 species